rnacentral:tRNA from 1 species
GGUGCGGGCAGCAGGGGUUCCUUGCCGGUGUCUUCCAUGCGCCCCGGGUACCCGGGCGGUGCGGGGCCAUCCCCGCACCG